CCACAGACCCGAUCAGUUCACUCUCAGCCAUCAACGGCGCCGGCCACGGACCAAUCGACAGACCCCACCGCAGCACAGCCUCAUCCCCUCAACCAGAGAACGGGCGGAGUUCGUUUCUCCAUCGCCACCGACCCGAACUCCUCAGCACCGCCACCGGGUUCCUGCUUCAAUCGACCACCCACAGCUCCUCCUCCACGACGAUCUACCACCGGAGACGAAGAAGAAACCCAUAACAGACUGAUCUGGGAAAGAAGUAGAACCGAAACUGAGAAGAAGAGAAACCGAAGCAUGAUUUCAAAAAAACAAAGGAAAUAAUAAAUAAAAUCAACUGGUGUUUGCGUUAUUGUUAUUGCUACAGGUCACCGCCGGCGCAAGGGGGGAGAGAAGAGCAAAAGGUUCCCGAUCCCCCGGUUUCUGCCAUCUUCGUCGGCGGCGG
rnacentral:lncRNA from 1 species